rnacentral:rRNA from 1 species
GCGAACGCUGGCGGCAGGCCUAACACAUGCAAGUCGAACGAACUCUUCGGAGUUAGUGGCGGACGGGUGAGUAACACGUGGGAACGUGCCUUUAGGUUCGGAAUAACUCAGGGAAACUUGUGCUAAUACCGAAUGUGCCCUUCGGGGGAAAGAUUUAUCGCCUUUAGAGCGGCCCGCGUCUGAUUAGCUAGUUGGUGAGGUAAAGGCUCACCAAGGCGACGAUCAGUAGCUGGUCUGAGAGGAUGAUCAGCCACAUUGGGACUGAGACACGGCCCAAACUCCUACGGGAGGCAGCAGUGGGGAAUCUUGCGCAAUGGGCGAAAGCCUGACGCAGCCAUGCCGCGUGAAUGAUGAAGGUCUUAGGAUUGUAAAAUUCUUUCACCGGGGACGAUAAUGACGGUACCCGGAGAAGAAGCCCCGGCUAACUUCGU